rnacentral:lncRNA from 1 species
AAGAUAUUCAGCAUAGUGCACGCCUAUGCUGGCAUAAUGGAAAAAUAAUCAAAGCAAUAAAAAUUCAGAUUAAAAAAAAUGUUUACACAGCCAAUAGUGAAAAUAAUAUUUUUAAGCCUGAAUGCUAACUCAACAAGAAGGCUUCUACUCAAUCACCUGAUGCUCCUAAGGAAAUUUAGGUCUCAUCAUACUAUAGUGAUAUAUACCAUAUAUAUACCAUAUAAAAAUAGAAAAUAGGGCUGUAAAUAGACCUUUGGAGGUCAAGUUGUCCGCUGCUUUGCCUGAAGGCAGGAUCAAUGAUUCCUCACAGAUGUUUGUCUAAACCAGUCUCCAUGAAAUGAGUACUAGCAACUUUUUUUAUCUCAUCAGUUCUUAACUCUAGCAAUUGCCUGGAAGUCAAUAAGAUGACUACUCGUGUCUAGCCCAAGCUCCUUUCAUCACUAUGUGUUUUCUCAUGUGUUUCCUUAAUAUGAAUGUGACAUUUGCCUCCUUCCAGCAGUGGCAUUUAAGCUUAGGAACUAUGACUCCUCACUUUACUAAUCAGUAAAUAAAAAUCUUAUUGUAGGUGCUAAGGAAUGCAUAAACACUCUAGCUAUAGGAGAAAAGGACAUUCAGAUGUAGGGAAGGUUAUGAUCUUAUGUCAGUGUGCUCCAAAACCACCUGAGUACCUGAGGCAAACAAUUGAAUAUUUGGUCAAACUACUGCCAUAUUCUUCCUUCAAGUCACUAUGCUAUGAAGAGGCAUGCACCGUGCAUAGAACAGAGCCAUCUGUACCCUUUCAGAUAGAGCAAAUGUAUGACUUCAUAACAAUGUCCUCCUUCAAGAAAACAGAACAAAAGAAAGCAAUUAUUAAUAGUUAUUAA